UACAGGGGGGGCAAGCGUUGUUCGGAAUUACUGGGCGUAAAGGGCUCGUAGGCGGCCAACUAAGUCCGACGUGAAAUCCCAAAGCUUAACUUUGGAACUGCGUCGGAUACUGGAUGGCUUGAAUUCGGGAGAGGGAUGCAGAAUUCCAGGUGUAGCGGUGAAAUGCGUAGAUAUCUGGAGGAAUACCGGUGGCGAAGGCGGCAUCCUGGACCGACAUUGACGCUGAGGAGCGAAAGCAUGGGGAGCGAACAGG
rnacentral:rRNA from 1 species